rnacentral:rRNA from 1 species
CCCUUAGAUGUUCUGGGCCGCACGCGCGCUACACUGAUGUAUUCAACAAGCCUAGCCUUGACCGAGAGGUCCGGGUAAUCUUUGAAACUGCAUCGUGAUGGGGCUAGAUUAUUGCAAUUAUUAAUCUUCAACGAGGAAUGCCUAGUAAGCGUGAUUCAUCAAAUCGCGUUGAUUACGUCCCUGCCCUUUGUACACACCGCCCGUCGCUCCUACCGAUUGAAUGUGUUGGUGAGGAGCUCGGAUUGGCAGCAGUUGGUGGUUCGCCACCGGCUAUUGCUGAGAAGUCCUCCAAACCGCCCCAUUUAGAGGAAGGAGAAGUCGUAACA